rnacentral:rRNA from 1 species
CACCAGCGCCACGAGUGGCCACCGCGAUUAUUGGGCCUAAAGCGUCCGUAGUCGGACUUGUGCAUCUUCUGUGAAAUCGCUGCGCUUAACGUAGCGGCAUGCGGAAGACACGGCAAGUCUUUGAGAUCGGGAGGCGUCAGGGGUAUUCCUGGGGGACCGGUAAAAUGGUAUAAUCCCAGGAGGACCACCUGUGGCGAAGGCGCCUGACGAGAACGAAUCUGACGAUGAGGGACGAAAGCCAGGGGAGCAAACCGG